AUGAUGCUGGUGUGCUCCGCCCAAGUGUCUGAUCUAGGGGCCAAUUGGAAGGUAAGUGGAAAGCCUGGCAUGGAGGCACAUAGGCUUGCUGAUUAUGUUUCUGGAUUGGCCCUUGAGAAGGAGACCAAAGCAAACUUCAGCAGGUAUCAGGUAUCUAAGAAUGCUGAUGAUUACACUCGGAGCAAGCCUUGUCGCGGCGCUGCAAGUGUUGCCCCCCUCCUCAAGGGCAAGGUGAAGGAAGGUGCCUGUGUGGUUCUUCUGCAGCUCGCAACGAGGAUUGCUGUGUCCCUGCACAAGAAUGCCAAGAAGUCCUUCUCAGAGACGAUUAAGGACAUGUACAUGCACUACAACGAGAGAUCUGGGCUGCUUCUUUGUGGCUUCCAAACUUGA
rnacentral:rRNA from 1 species